GAUGAACGCUGGCGGCGUGCCUAAUACAUGCAAGUCGAGCGAACGGACGAGAAGCUUGCUUCUCUGAUGUUAGCGGCGGACGGGUGAGUAACACGUGGAUAACCUACCUAUAAGACUGGGAUAACUUCGGGAAACCGGAGCUAAUACCGGAUAAUAUUUUGAACCGCAUGGUUCAAAAGUGAAAGACGGUCUUGCUGUCACUUAUAGAUGGAUCCGCGCUGCAUUAGCUAGUUGGUAAGGUAACGGCUUACCAAGGCAACGAUGCAUAGCCGACCUGAGAGGGUGAUCGGCCACACUGGAACUGAGACACGGUCCAGACUCCUACGGGAGGCAGCAGUAGGGAAUCUUCCGCAAUGGGCGAAAGCCUGACGGAGCAACGCCGCGUGAGUGAUGAAGGUCUUCGGAUCGUAAAACUCUGUUAUUAGGGAAGAACAUAUGUGAAAGUAACUGUGCACAUCUUGACGGUACCUAAUCAGAAAGCCACGACUAACUACGUG
rnacentral:rRNA from 1 species